rnacentral:rRNA from 1 species
GAUGAACGCUAGCUACAGGCUUAACACAUGCAAGUCGAGGGGAAACGGCAUUAAGUGCUUGCACUUUUUGGACGUCGACCGGCGCACGGGUGAGUAACGCGUAUCCAACCUUCCCAUGACUAAGGGAUAACCUGCCGAAAGGCAGACUAAUACCUUAUGGUCUUCACUGACGGCAUCAGAUGUGAAGUAAAGAUUUAUCGGUUAUGGAUGGGGAUGCGUCUGAUUAGCUUGUUGGCGGGGUAACGGCCCACCAAGGCAACGAUCAGUAGGGGUUCUGAGAGGAAGGUCCCCCACAUUGGAACGGAGACACGGUCCAAACUCCUACGGGAGGCAGCAGUGAGGAAUAUUGGUCAAUGGGCGAGAGCCUGAACCAGCCAAGUAGCGUGCAGGAGGACGGCCCUAUGGGUUGUAAACUGCUUUUGUAUGGGGAUAAAGUCAAUCACGUGUGAUUGUUUGCAGGUACCAUACGAAUAAGGACCGGCUAAUUCCGUG